rnacentral:lncRNA from 1 species
GGGGAUCCGAAAUAAACGGAACCCGCUGAUAAACCACGGACAGAACUCUGGCGUCCCAGAAAUAAAUGUCCAUAAUCCAUAGUCACCAUCAGUACCAAGAGUCACCAACUGUACCUGUUAAAAUGAUCAAACCCUUCCCCACUCACGGGUGUCAUCUAGGCCAGGGUAAGGUCGAUAGAAACGCAGCAUAAAUAACCUUUCGCAGAA